AUAUAACGCGGCUUGUAUAAACGAUGUUCCGUUUCCGAUCGUCACUCCGGAGGAGGCAAGAGACUGAUCGGGAAUACUCUACUUUUUCUUGCUCGAUUCUGCGGAUCAGAUCAUCGCUGGCCCCCAAGCCUGUGACGAGCUCCUCGUCCGAUCUCGUUGUAUGUAGUCUUCACUGCGUUUUUGAUGCUCUCCGUUGGACUGUUCACGGGCAUGUUGCAUGGAAAAACAUAUAUGAGCUGGUGCAUGGCUUGAUGAGAUCUGGUGCGGACUAGUUUCUACAGAAGAAAACAUUUGUAUGCUGUAAUUUUGAGAUUGAGGUUGCAGGUAAAUUCUGUGCUUCUGUAUUAUUUCUUUCAUGUGCUACAGGUGGCCAUAGUUUUUCUUGGGAUUAGAAUGUAUGAAGCCAGCAACGUUAGAAGGACCAUCUCUGGGAGAGAUUAAAACCAUGAAAGUUACAGUAGUUGCACCCCAUUUCGAAAUAAUCAUUUAAGCUUCCCUUGAUGAGUGACAUUUUAUACGUCACUGCCCAUUCAUUCUUCACCAUCAGUUUAUCUCUCAUUAAUUCCGGUCCAAAUCUUUUCUCCGGCCGCUUUUUUUUUAUUUUUUUACACUAUUGAACCCAUUCUCAUGCCAAGUCCAUCUUCCAGUGGAAAGACUAAAAGCUAAAAACAGAACACAAACAGCUUCGUGAUUUAUUUGAAUGCCAACCUUUAAUGCAUGGGGAUACCUUCCAAGCUUUCUUGAUGAGGACUAACAGAUUUCGCUGUAUCGGUCGAUCCACAAAACAGCGUCCCUUCCUCGUGAUGUUCAGGAAUGCGGUAAUGAUAUCAGCACAACGGGCCAGCGGGGUUGGCGUACGGGUUGUGGUGCUCAGGAGAUAUGAAGCUGUUUGCUGAAUCGGUCGAGACAUGGUAGCUAUGCUUGCCCCAAACGAAGUCACAGACUACCACGUACACACCACAAAUCGGUGAAUCUAAACCGUCCGUAGUGGUCGUGUGGUUAUGCUCGAGGCGUAUCCUAACUAAAACGUUGCCCACGAAUAGUACCGUCGGAUCGGAAAGUGAACGAAUCAUAAGGGUAGCUCCGAUGAUGAUGAUGCGAUGAGCCCUAGUGCAUGGUAUGAAUCAAGAAGCUUAUUAGACUGUAUAACGAACUCUCCUUUUCCGUCGUUUCCCAUUCAUAUACGACUACUUGUUGCCGCUCUCAUUGGCGAGGACGGAUCAGACGAGGAGAAGGCAAUGGUGGAGGCGGCAGCCAAGAACGGGGAUAGGAAGGCGACAAGGCAUUCCGAUGGGUGACAAGGGACGCGUCCGGUCUCUUCUCUUCUUCGCCUUCUCCCGGAGGGGUUUUGGGGAGCCACACUAUACUUCUCUGUUCCCUCCGUCCUGUUAGGAAUGUAGUCGAGUCAUGCAUAUUUAAUGGAAUUCGAUGCAUGUCCCAUUUGAAUAUCAUAGUUGGGUCAUGCAUAUAUAGAUGUAGAAGUCUGUGGUUGUGUGAAUGCAAUUCAGUUCAACUUGAUAAAUAGAAGUAUAAGUCAUGAAAUAUUUGCUUGGAGUUCUACUUGGAGUACAUGAACACUAAGGGAGGCCUUUGUUCUCGAUCCGAA